rnacentral:rRNA from 1 species
AGCCCAGCUUGCUGGGUGGAUUAGUGGCGAACGGGUGAGUAACACGUGGGUGAUCUGCCCUGCACUUCGGGAUAAGCCUGGGAAACUGGGUCUAAUACCGGAUAGGACCUUCUGCCGCAUGGUGGGGGGUGGAAAGGUUUUCCGGUGCAGGAUGGGCCCGCGGCCUAUCAGCUUGUUGGUGGGGUAACGGCCCACCAAGGCGACGACGGGUAGCCGGCCUGAGAGGGCGACCGGCCACACUGGGACUGAGACACGGCCCAGACUCCUACGGGAGGCAGCAGUGGGGAAUAUUGCACAAUGGGCGCAAGCCUGAUGCAGCGACGCCGCGUGAGGGAUGACGGCCUUCGGGUUGUAAACCUCUUUCAGUACCGACGAAGCGCAAGUGACGGUAGGUACAGAAGAAGCACCGGCCAACUACGUGCCAGCAGCCGCGGUAAUACGUAGGGUGCGAGCGUUGUCCGGAAUUACUGGGCGUAAAGAGCUCGUAGGCGGUUUGUCGCGUCGUCUGUGAAAACCCGCAGCUCAACUGCGGGCUUGCAGGCGAUACGGGCAGACUUGAGUACUGCAGGGGAGACUGGAAUUCCUGGUGUAGCGGUGAAAUGCGCAGAUAUCAGGAGGAACACCGGUGGCGAAGGCGGGUCUCUGGGCAGUAACUGACGCUGAGGAGCGAAAGCGUGGGUAGCGAACAGGAUUAGAUACCCUGGUAGUCCACGCCGUAAACGGUGGGCGCUAGGGUGUGGGUUUCCUUCCACGGGAUCCGUGCC